AUGCAGGGCGAGUACCGCUCGUCGUCUUCCAGCGAGGGCUCCGCGGGGUCGGCGGCUGCUGCUGCGGCUGCGGCGGCGGCCAUGGCGCCUCUGGCGGCUGCGGCCGCGGCGGCGGCGGCCAAGGAGGAGCACAACGUGAAGGCGGCCGUGGCGCCGCCCAUCCCCAUGGCGAUGGCGAUGCCGCUGGAGCCGAGGAAGCAGUACCGCGGCGUGCGCAUGCGCAAGUGGGGCAAGUGGGUGGCGGAGAUCCGUGAGCCGCACAAGCGGACGCGCAUCUGGCUGGGGUCCUACGCGACGCCCGUGGCGGCGGCGCGCGCCUACGACACGGCCGUGUUCUACCUGCGCGGGAGGUCAGCGCGGCUCAAUUUCCCCGACGAGAUCUCCGCGCUGGCACAGUCUUCGCCCGAGGCCGAAGCCGGCGCGUUGUCCGCCGCGUCAAUCCGGAAGAAGGCCAUCGAGGUCGGGUCCCGCGUGGACGCGCUCCAGACCGGCAUGACCACCAUGGUCGCCGCGCCCACGCACCACCACGAGCGGAAGAAGCACCAGUCCGGCUCCUCCGGGGCAGGGGAGCUCGAGGGCGAGCUGGGUGACGGCCCCGUGCUGCCCGCCGCGUCAAUCCGGAAGAAGGCCAUCGAGGUAGUGUCCCGCGUGGAUGCGCUCCAGAGCGGCAUGAUGAUGGGCGCCUUGCCCACGCACCACGGCGAGCGGAAGAAGCACCAUGCCGGCGCCUCCGGGUCAGGUGAGCUCGAGGGCGAGCUGGCUGACGGCCCCGUGGUGCCCGCCGCGUUAAUCCGGAAGAAGGCCAUCGAGGUCGGGUCCCGCAUGGACGCGCUCCAGAGGGGCAUGACGAUGGGCGCCGCGCCCACGCACCACCGCAAGCAGCAGAAGCACCAGGCUAGCGCCUCCGGCGAAGGGAAGUUCGCGGGCGAGCCUGCCGACGGCGCCGUGCUGUCCGUCGCGUCGAUCCGGGAGGACAUCGAGGUCGGGCCCCGCGCGGACGCGCUCCAGAGCGGCAUGAAGAUGGUCGCUGCGCCCACGCACCACCGAGGGCAGCAGAAUCACCCCCACCACCAUCACUCGGAGCCGCAUGGCAAGGAGCUCCACCGCCAUCAGAGCCUGCAACAUGACCAUUGUUGGGUCAUCAGUGCUUCGUUUGGUGCCAUGAGAGCUCUUAUUGGGAAGCUGGACAUACUGCUGCUAGCUCCUUCGUCUCCUCACGGAUGCUCCUCCAAGAGGGUCAAAGAUGGGAUGCGCCUCCUCAAAGAUGAUGUUGACGAGAUAAGCUCCUACCUUGAUGAACUGUCAGAGGUGGAGGACCCUCCCCCAAUGGCCAAGUGCUGGAUGAAUGAGGCGCGCGACCUGUCUUACGACAUUGAGGAUUACAUAGACUGUCUCAACAACAAGAAGCAGAACAAAAAACAGAAGAAGAAGAAGCAGAAGUUUAGUACCAGUUAUGUUAGGAUUCCAAAGAGGCUCAAGUGGUGCAAGCGAAUAACAUAUGUGUCUCGAGUGUCAGACCAUGACAACAUCAGAUCGGUCUGCAGAAAUAUUCAUGUCAUGAUCACUGCUCGUCGUCUUCCCAAGAGGCCCAAGAACAUUGCGGUACUUAAAAUGAUAUCACAGUUCAGGACCUACAUCCAAGAUGCCAUUGAACGGCACGACAGGUAUAUGCUCCAUUGCUGCAGUAACUUGAGGAGGCGUACAUUCGUGUCCACUGGCCGUAUGCUUCCAGUGCCCUAUGAAGAAACCGAUAAUCACAUAGUAAUCGAUGGCCGGAUGAAUGAGUUUAUCAACUCAUUGUCCGCUAACAAUGCGGCAGAUCAGCAGCAGCUGAAGGUGGUGUCUAUUCAUGGAUCUGGAUGUCUGGGUAAAACUACACUUGCCAAAGUGUUGUACAACAGAAUUGGGAUGCAAUUCGAUUGCAUAGCUUUCAUCCGAGUUUCCAAAAAGCCUGAUAUGAAGAGACUUCUCCGUGACUUGUUCUCGCAACUCCACCAUAAGAAGCAGCCACUAGCUGCCAGUCGUAAUGAGCUUGGCAUCAGUGACAAUAUCAGCAGACAUCUUCAAGAUAAAAGGUAUCUAAUUGUUAUUGAUGAUUUGUGGGAUGCAUCAGUAUGGGAUGUCAUUAAAUAUGCUUUUCCGAAGGGGAACCAUAGCAGCAGAAUUAUAAUAACUACACAAAUUGCAGAUGUUGCAUUAACAUGUUGCUGUGAUCACUCAGAGCAUGUUUUCGAGAUGAAACCUCUCGACGAUGAUCACUCAAGAAAGCUAUUUUUUAACAGGCUUUUUGGUUCUGAAAGUGACUGUCCUGAAGAAUUCCAACAAGUUUCAAACGAAAUUGUUGAUACCUGUGGUGGUUUGCCGCUAGCGACAAUCAACAUAGCUAGUCAUUUGGCCAAUCAGACAGCAGUGUCACUGGAUUUGCUGACAUACAUACGGGAUUCGUUGAGGUCCAAACUGUGGUCAAGUCCUACUUCAGAAAUAACGAGACAAGUACUGAACCUCAGCUACAAUAAUCUUCCUCAUUAUCUGAGGACAUGUUUGCUGUAUCUUCAUAUGCAUCCAGGGGGCUCCAUAAUCCCGAAGGAUGAUCUGGUAAAGCAAUGGGUGGCUGAAGGGUUUAUUGCUUCAGAUAAAGGGAAAGAUCAAGAUCAAGAAAUGAUAGAGAAAAUUGCAGGAAUCUAUUUCGAUGCACUUAUUGAUGGAAGAUUCAUCCAACCUUUAUACAACAAUAAGGUACUAUCCUGUACAGUUCAUGAUGUAGUGCGUGAUCUUAUUGCACAGAAGUCUGCAGAAGAGAAUUUCAUUGUCGUAGUAGAUUGCAAUCGAAAGAAUAUAGCAAUUUCUCAUAAGGUUCAUCGACUAUCCCUCAUCUUUGGCGAUGCAAAAUAUGCGAAGACACCACCAAACAUUACAAAGUCACAAGUUCGGUCACUUACUUUUUUUGGAUUAUUCGAGUGUAUGCCUUGUAUUAGAGAGUUCAAGGUUCUCCGUGUUCUGAACCUUCAACUAUCAGGUCAUCGUGGUAACCUCGAACCCAUAGACCUCACUGGGAUAUCAGUACUGCUUCAGCUGAGAUAUUUGAAGAUUGCAAGUGAUGUCUGCAUUAAACUACCAAACAGUAUGUGGGGGCUGAAAUGUUUGCAAACAUUGGAUGUUAUGGAUGCAACAAGAGUCACUGCUGUUCCGUGGGAUAUUAUAUAUCUCCCACACUUGUUGCACCUGACUCUUACUGUUGGCACAAGUCUGAUGGAAUGGAUUGGUAGCAUGUAUGACUCUGUCAUCAGUCUGUGGACCCUUGGCAAGUUGAACUACCUGCAGGAUCUUCAUCUCACCUCUUCUUCUACACCGCCUUCUUCCGACCAUCUGAAGAGAAGCAUGGAAGGUCUGGGUUCUUUAAUUGGAGGACAUGGCAACCUGAAAACUAUAGUAGUGGCUCACGGUUCCUCAGUUAAAAAUUUUGUGGUUCCUGGCGCUUCAAAAGUAAUCAUUCCAUGGGAUCACAUGGCACCUCCCCCCCUUCUCCAAAGAUUUGAGUUCUCGCCGCACAACUGCUGCAUAUUUUCACGAAUUCCUCCGUGGGUUGAGAAACAUGGCAACCUAUCCAUUUUGAAGAUUCCGGUGAGGGAACUAACAAUGAUUUGUGUUGAUACUCUCGGAGGAUUGUGUGCCCUCACUGCUCUGUCGCUGUAUGUGGAGACGGCACCCACUCACAAGAUCAUCUUUGAAAAGGCGGCCAGGUUCUCAGUUCUCAAGUACUUCAAGUUGAGGUUCACGACCGGUAUAGCUUGCCUAAAAUUUGAGGCGAAUGCAAUGCCUAAUCUCUUGAAGCUCAAGCUAGUUUUCAAUGCCAUCCCACCAAUGGGACACCCUCUCUUUUCUCGUUCGGGCCAAGUACAGCAUCAACAUGGUACUGCAGUUAUUAACAUUGAACAUAUGCCUGGGCUUAAAGAGAUUUCCACAAAAUUUGGGGGUGCAGCUUCUGAUUUAGAGUAUGCCUCAAGGACCGUCGUUAGUAACCAUCCAAGCAAUCCUACAAUCAACAUGCAAUUGGUGGGUUAUAGUUCCGAUGUUGACAUAAGCACAAAACAGAAACAACAACCAGAUGACAUUCUGGAGGAACAACCAGAUGAAAACGACACGACAUUGGAGGAGCCAGCUGAUAAAAGGAUUUCAACGUCACCGGAAUCUUCUUCGCGUCUGCCCAGCUCGAAGAAGAGGAAAAGAUCGCCAUUUCUCGACUUCCAUCAGGACUGCACACCUUGGUGA
rnacentral:rRNA from 1 species